rnacentral:rRNA from 1 species
AUUCAGGGGCAUACCCUAAAGACACCAGAUCCCAUUUGAUCUUGGAAACUAAGCAAGGCCAGCCCUGGUUAAUACUUGGAUGGGAGACUACUAAUGAGGACCAUGUGUUGUAGGCU